CCUACGGGUGGCAGCAGUGAGGAAUAUUGGUCAAUGGGCGGAAGCCUGAACCAGCCAAGUCGCGUGAAGGAAGACGGUCCUAUGCAUUGUAAACUUCUUUUGUCCGGGAACAAAAUACGGCACGCGUGGCUUUCCGAGAGUACUUGAAGAAAAAGCAUCGGCUAACUCCGUGCCAGCAGCCGCGGUAAUACGGAGGAUCCGAGCGUUAUCCGGAUUUAUUGGGUUUAAAGGGUGCGUGGGCGGAAGGUCAAGUCAGCGGUAAAAGCCAGGGGCUCAACCCCUCCGAGCCGUUGAAACUGGUUUUCUUGAGUCGUCGAGAGGUAUGCGGAAUGCGUAGUGUAGCGGUGAAAUGCUUAGAUAUGGCGCAGAACUCCGAUUGCGAAGGCAGCAUACCGGCGCUGAACUGACGCUGAUGCACGAAAGCGUGGGUAUCGAACAGGAUUAGAUACCCGAGUAGUC
rnacentral:rRNA from 1 species